GAUGGACGCUGGCGGCGUGCCUAAUACAUGCAAGUCGAGCGAACAGAUGAGGAGCUUGCUCCUCUGACGUUAGCGGCGGACGGGUGAGUAACACGCGGAUAACCUACCUAUAAGACUGGGAUAACUUCGGGAAACCGGAGCUAAUACCGGAUAAUAUAUUGAACCGCAUGGUUCAAUAGUGAAAGACGGUUUUGCUGUCACUUAUAGAUGGAUCCGCGCCGCAUUAGCUAGUUGGUAAGGUAACGGCUUACCAAGGCAACGAUGCGUAGCCGACCUGAGAGGGUGAUCGGCCACACUGGAACUGAGACACGGUCCAGACUCCUACGGGAGGCAGCAGUAGGGAAUCUUCCGCAAUGGGCGAAAGCCUGACGGAGCAACGCCGCGUGAGUGAUGAAGGUCUUCGGAUCGUAAAACUCUGUUAUUAGGGAAGAACAAAUGUGUAAGUAACUAUGCACGUCUUGACGGUACCUAAUCAGAAAGCCACGGCUAACUACGUG
rnacentral:rRNA from 1 species